UUCAUAACGGAGAGAAAAUAUGUUUAUAGUACCAUAUGCAUAUUUAUUGAAAACAAUCUGCAUAUGAGUGGAUAUGCACUUCAAACUCAUGUUGUUCAAGAGUCAACUGUACUUUGUCUAAGCAGAGAUUGAGAGAAGAAGCUUAAGGAUGAAUAUGGAGUAAGCUAUUUAAAAGACGGUCCUAUAUAAUUUUCCAAGAUGUUUAGCUUACCACAGGAGCUACAGAACUAAUAGAUGACUUACAAAGAUAGGACUAGUUGAUGCAUAAUAGCCAUUUAUUUCAUCAGAUUUUGAAAGUGAGUCUGUGGUGCCAAAAAACUACUUGUCUAGAUUAUUUGGAGAACACUGUGAAGCCUUAAGAUGAGAUGUGAACAAAAAACCAAGCAAAGAGAAAG